rnacentral:rRNA from 1 species
AGUGAACGCUGGCGGUAGGCCUAACACAUGCAAGUCGAACGGCAGCACAGUAAGAGCUUGCUCUUACGGGUGGCGAGUGGCGGACGGGUGAGGAAUACAUCGGAAUCUACUUUUUAUUGGGGGAUAACGACGGGACACUUACGCUAAUAAUGCAUACGACCUACGGGUGAAAGCAGGGGAUCUUCGGAACUUGCGCGAUUGAAUGAGCCGAUGUCGGAUUAGCUAGUUGGCGGGGUAAGGGCCCACCAAGGCGACGAUCCGUAGCUGGUCUGAGAGGAUGAUCAGCCACACUGGAACUGAGACACGGUCCAGACUCCUACGGGAGGCAGCAGUGGGGAAUAUUGGACUAUGGGCGCAAGCCUGAUCCAGCCAUACCGCGUGGGUGAAGAAGGCCUGCGGGUUGUAAAGCCCUUUUGUUUGGAAAGAAAAGCAGCGGGUUAAUACCCCGCUGUUCUGACGGUACCCAAAGAAUAAGCACCGGCUAACUUCGUG